CGCGUAGGUAAUCUACCCUAGAGUUUCGGAUAACCUGCCGAAAGGCGGGCUAAUACGAAAUAGAGCGACGGAACUCAUAAUGAGUUUUUCGGGAAAGGGAGGGAGCAAUCCCCUUUGCUUUAGGAUGAGCCUGCGUCUCAUUAGCUAGUUGGUAGGGUAAUGGCCUACCAAGGCUUUGAUGGGUAGCUGGUCUGAGAGGAUGAUCAGCCACACUGGAACUGAAACACGGUCCAG
rnacentral:rRNA from 1 species